UACGUAGGGUGCGAGCGUUGUCCGGAUUUAUUGGGCGUAAAGAGCCCGUAGGCGGUCUGUCGCGUCGGAUGUGAAAACCCAGGGCUCAACCCUGGGCCUGCAUUCGAUACGGGCAGACUAGAGUACGGCAGGGGAGACUGGAAUUCCUGGUGUAGCGGUGAAAUGCGCAGAUAUCAGGAGGAACACCGGUGGCGAAGGCGGGUCUCUGGGCCGAAACUGACGCUGAGGAGCGAAAGCGUGGGGAGCGAACAGG
rnacentral:rRNA from 1 species